rnacentral:rRNA from 1 species
GAGGCAGCAGUGGGGAAUAUUGGACAAUGGGGGAAACCCUGAUCCAGCGACGCCGCGUGAGUGAAGAAGUACUUCGGUAUGUAAAGCUCUAUCAGCAGGGAAGAAAAUGACGGUACCUGACUAAGAAGCCCCGGCUAACUACGUGCCAGCAGCCGCGGUAAUACGUAGGGGGCAAGCGUUAUCCGGAUUUACUGGGUGUAAAGGGAGCGUAGACGGCACUGCAAGUCUGGAGUGAAAGCCCGGGGCUCAACCCCGGGACUGCUUUGGAAACUGUGGUGCUAGAGUGCAGGAGAGGUAAGUGGAAUUCCUAGUGUAGCGGUGGAAUGCGUAGAUAUUAGGAGGAACACCAGUGGCGAAGGCGGCUUACUGGACUGUAACUGACGUUGAGGCUCGAGAGCGUGGGGAGCAAACAGGAUUAGAUACCCUGGUAGUCCACGCCGUAAACGAUGAGCACUAGGUGUCGGGGCCGCAAGGUUUCGGUGCCGCAGUUAACGCAUUAAGUGCUCCGCCUGGGGA